CCAAAUAUGCAAAUUCCUGGUAACAAAAUUUUCUGGCACAGAUGAGUUUUGCUAAGUACAUUUUCGCCUUUUAAAGUUUUUUGUAGUAGGUACAUCAACGUCACUUGAAAUUGAAACGAUGAAAAUUUUUCAUAAUUUUGAACGGUGUGUAUUUUUAUUUAUCAUCAUAAAAUGUAUGUUUGUGUUACAUGUUGUUGCUGAAAAAAAAUCGGAUGAGAUACCAGAUAAUCCAAAUGUUAUCCUCCAAGACAAGUUCCAGAGAUAUUUGAAUGGCGAGGAAUCUUACUUAGGCAAAGUCGUCAACGGAGAUAUCCCAAGACGGUACAGAAGACCAUUAUUCAAAAACAACUUGAAAUAUUAUCACAGCUUAGGAAUAGGAGAACAGGAGUAAAAUAAUCUAAGUUCGAAGCUUCUAGUGACCUGUAACGUUAAUGUGGGCAAAAUUUGAUUCAUGUAACAACUUCAACCAAAAAUUUUUUUCGAGCAGGGCAAGGGGAGAAAUUCAAAUUCCAGCAUUAUUUUCACCUAGAUUAAAAAAUUAAAAAAAAUAAUUCAUCAUCAUCAAAAAUUCCCAUUUCUGAGCAAUUAAAACUUUUAUACAAAUGACUAAUAUUUUUAAAAAAAUCUGAAACUGUUUUUCUUUUCGUACCUUUUCUGUAGCAAAUUCGAGGCGUCAGUUUCGAGCAGUCUCUCAUCUCGUCAAUCUAAAUGAGCUUGCCGAGAGAAGAGACUGCACAGACAGACGACUCGAAUUUGAAUUUGAAACCGAAAGUGUGGAAAAUAGUACCCAGACUAUUCCUCAAACAAAAAGCUACCGUACCCAGUUUUUUUUUUUCAAAUGAUACCAAAUUAAAAUCCACAUGGUCGCGACUCGACACCUACAAGGUGAUAAAACACCACCAAGAUACACCAUAGCGUGAGAAUAGAGAGAAAAAAAAAAAGUAAACGUAAUAAAAACGAACUCUUCCAUACAGACAGAUCCUUAUAAAUGGUUCUUAUCCCCGCCAAAAUUUGAUAUUUUUGCGGUCCAUUGUUCGGGUUUUUGAUCUCUUAACAACACUCUGCUUGUAGCUUCCCCGAUUAGAUAUCGAUGACGCUCAGUUUUACUUUUUUAUGACCGUUUCGAGCGUCUCAUCUCCCAAUAUUUCCAAUUCCUAAACAUCUAUAGUUAGCAUCGCGAUUCAAAUUCCCUCUGCUUUUUUUGAAACUAAAAAUCGAAAAUCAUCAACUACAGAGUAGAUAAAAACACAAAGUACCUAAUCGAUAAAAUAAGCGUGGGAAAACAAACCGUGGUACAUACCUGACGAACGAAUCUUCGUCGCCAUUAAAAAAUUAACAUUGGAGGAAACAAAUUUCGUCAAGAGCCCCCUCCUCGCACCUGUUUCCUUUCCAAUCAAUCUCAAAUGGCAUACCAAAAUACAUAUUAGGACGAUGGACGAAACUGGAAAACAAACAGCACAUGCCCUUCCAAGAUCUAAAGAGUUCCACUGCUUCUUGCGUGUCUAUAAUGCGGCUGAAAUCCUUAUUUUUAAAACUUUUCAUUUUAUUCUUGUAUUGGCUGUUUUGUAUCAGUAUUUUUCAAUUUUCAAUACAAAUAUUAUAAUGGUAA